UUAAAUUGAAGAGUUUGAUCAUGGCUCAGAUUGAACGCUGGCGGCAGGCCUAACACAUGCAAGUCGAACGGUAACAGGAAGCAGGUUGCUG
rnacentral:rRNA from 1 species